rnacentral:snRNA from 8 species
GUGCUUGCUUUGGCAGCACAUAUACUAAAAUUGGAUCGAUACAGAGAAGAUUAGCAUGGCCC